rnacentral:rRNA from 1 species
UACGGAGGGUGCGAGCGUUAUCCGGAAUUACUGGGUUUAAAGGGUGCGUAGGCGGCUUUGUAAGUCAGGAGUGAAAGUUUGCGGCUCAACCGUAAAAUUGCUUUUGAUACUGCAGAGCUAGAAUCAGGAUGAGGUUAGCGGAAUGUGGCAUGUAGCGGUGAAAUGCAUAGAUAUGCCAUAGAACACCAAUUGCGAAGGCAGCUGGCGAGACCUGCAGUGACGUUGAGGCACGAAAGCGUGGGGAGCGAACAGG